rnacentral:tRNA from 1 species
AGGGAUGUAACUAGGUUGGCAGGGUAAUUGCCUAGCAUGCAUGAAGCUCUGGGUUCCACUCCCAGCCUCCCCA